rnacentral:rRNA from 1 species
UACGUAGGGCGCAAGCGUUAUCCGGAAUUAUUGGGCGUAAAGAGCUUGUAGGCGGUUUGUCGCGUCUGCUGUGAAAUUUCGGGGCUCAACCCCGAACUUGCAGUGGGUACGGGCAGACUAGAGUGUGGUAGGGGAGACUGGAAUUCCUGGUGUAGCGGUGAAAUGCGCAGAUAUCAGGAAGAACACCCGUGGCGAAGGCGGCUCUCUGGGACGGUACUGACGCUGAGACGCGAAAGCGUGGGGGAGCAAACAGG